rnacentral:tRNA from 1 species
UCGGAGCAGAAGGAUUUGAACCUACGGCCUCCACCAUCCCCAAGUGGCACGCUACCAAACUGCGCCAUACUCCG